GACGAACGCUGGCGGCGUGCCUAAUGCAUGCAAGUAGAACGCACAGUUUAUACCGUAGCUUGCUACACCAUAAACUGUGAGUUGCGAACGGGUGAGUAACGCGUAGGUAACCUGCCUGGUAGCGGGGGAUAACUAUUGGAAACGAUAGCUAAUACCGCAUAAUAUUGAUUAUUGCAUGAUAAUUGAUUGAAAGAUGCUAUUGCAUCACUACCAGAUGGACCUGCGUUGUAUUAGCUAGUAGGUGAGGUAACGGCUCACCUAGGCGACGAUACAUAGCCGACCUGAGAGGGUGAUAGGCAACACUGGGACUGAGACACGGCCCAGACUCCUACGGGAGGCAGCAGUAGGGAAUCGUCGGCAAUGGACGAAAGUCUGACCGAGCAACGCCGCGUGAGUGAAGAAGGUUGUCGGAUCGUAAAGCUCUGUUGUAAGAGAAGAACGGGUGUGAGAGUGGAAAGUUCACACUGUGACGGUAUCUUACCAGAAAGGGACGGCUAACUACGUG
rnacentral:rRNA from 1 species